AGGGCAGGACAUGGACACAAUGCAAUUAGGAUCAAGAAGAAGAUCUUCUCAGAAAUGAAUCAAGUCCAUGGAAUGGAUAUAGACAAAAAGAGAAAUAAAGGACAAUCAGAGGGAGAGGUGAGGCAGGGGUGAGGACAUCAUCCUGCCAUCUUGACAGUCCCUGAAGGACAGUACAGAAGAGGACUGGAGACCACAGCAGUGAUUCUGCUUUUGCCCAACCUCUUCAAUGAGGACCCGCGUGGCCUGUAUGUUCGUGACAAGAUUUCACUGCUCUUCACUCCUUUCUGGCACAUCAGUGGAAAUCCAUUUCACCACGAGAGUGAAAUCCCGCUGGCCUUUGAUGGGGAGAACAUCCACGCCUCGAGGACGUCCCCAUGGGACUUGGGGCUCUGCUAGGGCUGAAUUUGUAAUUUUCCCCAAAAUGUCAGAAAAACACUUAUGUUGAUAAGUUACUGUGUUCUGGGGAUAAGAGAAGUUGGGGUGAAGUUACCAGGGCCGGUCAUAAAGAUGGCAAACUUCCUAACAUAACUAAGUGGAUACGAUAUACACACCAAAGCUGAAACAUCUGUAUUUAGCAUCAAGUCUACAAUAUUGUUAGUUUACCUAUGAUUCAUUUUUAAUGUAUGUUGUUUUUAUUGUACAUCAUUUAUAUAUAUUUAUCAAAUGAGGAGACAAACUUAUCACACAAGUCAGAGUUAUUCUGAAACUAAAUCGUUAUUCACUUAUUAAUAAGGGAGCAGGUCAAUACAACGCACACAUAUAAUGUUAAUUAAUUGAGUGUUCUACAAUAAUGAUGGCUGGUCGACGAAUCACCCCCAGAUGAUUCGUUGAGAGCCACGAGACAAAAGCACAAAGGUCUUGCAUAGCCAAGAUAUACCCUUUUCAAUCUACAUGAUAAACAACAGAUGUAUAGAACGGGUCACAAGAUUAAGAUUUGUAUGAAAGAUACUUAUAAUUUUCAGCAGACAGUAUCUGCUGUAAAAACAGUACUCUUUGUGUAGAGACCAGGGUCUGGCCCUGCGGUCAUCUCCCCCUGGUACCAUAUAGAACAGAAACAUUAACUCAUGCUCUGGAAUCCGGUCUCGUUAGGUUUUAUCACCCAAAAGACAUUGUAAAUCUCCUAUCAGUGUUUUCUCCCAGAGGCCCAUCCUCAGUAGAACACACAGACACAAUAGUUAUAAGAACCCUCUAUUCUGUUGCAAUAAAACAACCAUUUGAUGCAAUAAAAGUAUUAUAAAUAAUCUUGCAAAUUUUCUCUCAGUAUCCACUGAAAGUUGACUAGUAACAACAAUUGGGAUAUAAAAGUCACCCACCAUGAAACCCACUAAAUCUGCCCAAGAAGCGACAAACAAAAGAAAAACCCACAACAAACUUAAAAACGGGAAGUAAAACCAAAAAGGUGGAGCAACUAAAGGUGUUGACUCUCCACAUCUAUCAAAACAACUGGAGCACUGGGCCAGACACUCUUAAAUAGAACCUGGACCAGCUCAGGUGAAACACCUGUU